AACGAACGCUGGCGGCAUGCCUAACACAUGCAAGUCGAACGGGAUUCUAGCUUGCUAGGUGAGAGUGGCGGACGGGUGAGUAACACGUGGGAAUCUGCCUUUUGGUUCGGGAUAACCGCGGGAAACUGCGGCUAAUACCGAAUGCCCUCGAGAGAGGAAAGAUUUAUCGCCAGAAGAGGAGCCCGCGUCCGAUUAGGUAGUUGGUGGGGUAAAGGCCUACCAAGCCGACGAUCGGUAGCUGGUCUGAGAGGAUGAUCAGCCACACUGGGACUGAGAUACGGCCCAGACUCCUACGGGAGGCAGCAGUGGGGAAUAUUGGACAAUGGGGGCAACCCUGAUCCAGCAAUGCCGCGUGAGUGAUGAAGGCCUUAGGGUGUAAAGCUCUUUUGCCAGGGAAGAUGAUGACUGUACCUGGAGAAUAAGCCCCGGCUAACUUCGUGCCAGCAGCCGCGGUAAU
rnacentral:rRNA from 1 species